rnacentral:rRNA from 1 species
AUUGAACGCUGGCGGAAUGCUUUACACAUGCAAGUCGAACGGUAGAGGGGGCAACCCCUUGAGAGUGGCGAACGGGUGAGUAAUAUAUCGGAACGUGCCCAGUCGUGGGGGAUAACGUAGUGAAAAUUACGCUAAUACCGCAUACGAUCUAAGGAUGAAAGCGGGGGAUCGCAAGACCUCGCGCGACUGGAGCGGCCGAUAUCAGAUUAGGUAGUUGGUAGGGUAAAGGCCUACCAAGCCAACGAUCUGUAGCUGGUCUGAGAGGACGACCAGCCACACUGGAACUGAGACACGGUCCAGACUCCUACGGGAGGCAGCAGUGGGGAAUUUUGGACAAUGGGCGAAAGCCUGAUCCAGCCAUUCCGCGUGCAGGAUGAAGGCCCUCGGGUUGUAAACUGCUUUUGUACAGAACGAAAAGGUUUCUAUUAAUACUAGGAGCUCAUGACGGUACUGUAAGAAUAAGCACCGGCUAACUACGUGCCAGCAGCCGCGGUAAUACGUAGGGUGCAAGCGUUAAUCGGAAUUACUGGGCGUAAAGCGUGCGCAGGCGGUUAUAUAAGUCAGAUGUGAAAUCCCCGGGCUCAACCUGGGAACUGCAUUUGAGACUGUAUAGCUAGAGUACGGUAGAGGGGGAUGGAAUUCCGCGUGUAGCAGUGAAAUGCGUAGAUAUGCGGAGGAACACCGAUGGCGAAGGCAAUCCCCUGGACCUGUACUGACG